UUCCAGACUCCUACGGGAGGCAGCAGUGGGGAAUAUUGGGCAAUGGGCGCAAGCCUGACCCAGCAACGCCGCGUGAAGGAAGAAGGCCCUCGGGUUGUAAACUUCUUUUAUCAAGGACGAAACAAAUGACGGUACUUGAUGAAUAAGCCACGGCUAACUACGUGCCAGCAGCCGCGGUAAUACGUAGGUGGCAAGCGUUGUCCGGAUUUACUGGGUGUAAAGGGCGUGUAGCCGGGCUGACAAGUCAGAUGUGAAAUUCCGGGGCUCAACCCCGGACCUGCAUUUGAAACUGUUGGUCUUGAGUAUCGGAGAGGCAGGCGGAAUUCCUAGUGUAGCGGUGAAAUGCGUAGAUAUUAGGAGGAACACCAGUGGCGAAGGCGGCCUGCUGGACGACAACUGACGGUGAGGCGCGAAAGCGUGGGGAGCAAACAGGAUUAGAUACCCCGGUA
rnacentral:rRNA from 1 species